rnacentral:rRNA from 1 species
UAGUGAAAUACAAAUCGGACUAGGAUAUAGCUGGUUUUCUGCGAAAAUUGUUUUGGCAAAUUGUUUAUUCCUCUAAAAAAUAGUAGGUAUAGCGCUGAAUAUCUCGAGGGAGUAUGAAAAUAUUUAUCUCAGAUAUUUAAUCUCAAAAUAACUAUUUCUUAAAAUAAAUAAUCAGACUAUGUGCGAUAAGGUAGAUAGUCGAAAGGGAAACAGCCCAGAACAGUAAUUAAAGCUCACCAAUUAAUAUUAAGUGAAAUA